rnacentral:rRNA from 1 species
AUACGUAGGGUGCGAGCGUUGUCCGGAAUUACUGGGCGUAAAGAGCUCGUAGGUGGUUUGUCGCGUCGUCUGUGAAAUUCCGGGGCUUAACUCCGGGCGUGCAGGCGAUACGGGCAUAACUUGAGUACUGUAGGGGAGACUGGAAUUCCUGGUGUAGCGGUGAAAUGCGCAGAUAUCAGGAGGAACACCGGUGGCGAAGGCGGGUCUCUGGGCAGUAACUGGCGCUGAGGAGCGAAAGCAUGGGUAGCGAACAGGAUUAGAUACCCGGGUAGUCCAUGCCGUAAACGGUGGGCGCUAGGUGUAGGGGUCUUCCACGACUUCUGUGCCGUAGCUAACGCAUUAAGCGCCCCGCCUGGGGAGUACGGCCGCAAGGCUAAAACUCAAAGGAAUUGACGGGG